rnacentral:rRNA from 1 species
UACGUAGGGUGCAAGCGUUAAUCGGAAUUACUGGGCGUAAAGCGUGCGCAGGCGGUGAUGUAAGACAGAUGUGAAAUCCCCGGGCUCAACCUGGGAACUGCAUUUGUGACUGCAUCGCUGGAGUGCGGCAGAGGGGGAUGGAAUUCCGCGUGUAGCAGUGAAAUGCGUAGAUAUGCGGAGGAACACCGAUGGCGAAGGCAAUCCCCUGGGCCUGCACCGACGCUCAUGCACGAAAGCGUGGGGAGCAAACAGG